rnacentral:rRNA from 1 species
UACAGAGGAGCCAAGCGUUGUCCGAAUUGACUGGGCGUAAAGCGCACGCAGGCGGAUGCGCGCGUGGGGUGUGAAAUCUGGCCGCUUAACGGCCAGGCGCCAUCCCAUACGGCACAUCUGGAGGGCUGCAGAGGUCGAUGGAAUUGCCGGUGUAGUGGUGAAAUGCGUAGAUAUCGGGAGGAACACCAGUGGCGAAGGCGACUUCCUGGCCUGUUCUUGACGCUGAGGCGCGAAAGCUAGGGGAGCAAACGGG